AACGAACGCUGGCGGCGUGCUUAACACAUGCAAGUCGAACGCACCGCAAGGUGAGUGGCGCACGGGUGAGUAACGCGUGGGAAUCUACCUUUUGAUUCGGAAUAACAUCGGGAAACUGGUGCUAAUACCGGAUAAGCCCUUCGGGGGAAAGAUUUAUCGUCAAAAGAUGAGCCCGCGUUGGAUUAGCUAGUUGGUGAGGUAACGGCUCACCAAGGCGACGAACCAUAGCUGGUCUGAGAGGAUGAUCAGCCACACUGGGACUGAGACACGGCCCAGACUCCUACGGGAGGCAGCAGUGGGGAAUAUUGGACAAUGGGGGCAACCCUGAUCCAGCAACGCCGCGUGAGUGAUGAAGGUCUUCGGAUUGUAAAGCUCUUUUGGCAGGGACGAUGAUGACGGUACCUGCAGAAUAAGCUCCGGCUAACUUCGUGCCAGCCGCCGCAGUAA
rnacentral:rRNA from 1 species